rnacentral:lncRNA from 1 species
ACUGUAGGUUAUUCUCCAUAUGGCUGAGUUGACUGUUCAGCUACAUGCUACUGUAGGUUAUUCUCCAUAUGGCUGAGUUGACUGUUCAGCUACUGUAGGUUAUUCUCCAUAUGGCUGAGUUGACUGUUCAGCUACUGUAGGUUAUUCUCCAUAUGGCUGAGUUGACUGUUCAGCUACUGUAGGUUAUUCUCCAUAUGGCUGAGUUGACUGUUCAGCUACAUGCUACUGUAGUUUACUCUCCACAAUGGCUGAGCUGACUGUUCAGCUACUGUAGUUUACUCUCCUAUAUGGCUGAGUUGACUGUUCAGCUACAUGCUACUGUAGGUUACUCUCCCAUAUGGCUGAGUUGACUGUUCAGCUACAUGCUACUGUAGGUUAUUCUCCAUAUGGCUGAGCUGACUGUUCAGCUACUGUAGUUUACUCUCCCAUAUGGCUGAGUUGACUGUUCACCUACAUGCUACUGUAGGUUAUUCUCCCAUAUGGCUGAGUUGACUGUUCAGCUACUGUAGGUUAUUCUCCAUACGGCUGGGUUGACUGUUCAGCUACUGUAGGUUAUUCUACAUAUGGCUGAGUUGACUGUUCAGCUACAUGCUACUGUAGGUUAUUCUCCCAUAUGGCUGAGUUGACUGUUCAGCUACAUGCUACUGUAGGUUAUUCUCCCAUAUGGCUGAGUUGACUGUUCAGCUACAUGCUACUGUAGGUUAUUCUCCCAUACGGCUGAGUUGACUGUUCAGAUACUGUAGGUUAUUCUCCAUACAGCUGAGUUGACUGUUCAGCUACUGUAGGUUAUCCUCCAUACGGCUGAGUUGACUGUUCAGCUACUGUAGGUAUUUCUCCAUAUGGCUGAGUUGACUGUUCAACUACUGUAGGUUAUUCUCCAUACGGCUGAGUUGACUGUUCAGCUACAUGCUACUGUCGGUUAUUCUCCCAUAUGGCUGAGUUGACUGUUCAGCUACAUGCUACUGUAGGUUAUUCUCCCAUAUGGCUGAGUUGACUGUUCAGCUACAUGCUACUGUAGGUUAUUCUCCCAUAUGGCUGAGUUGACUGUUCAGCUACAUGCUACUGUAGGUUAUUCUCCCAUACGGCUGAGUUGACUGUUCAGCUACUGUAGGUUAUUCUCCAUAUGUCUGAGUUGACUGUUCAGCUACAUGCUACUGUAGGUUAUUCUCCAUAUGGCUGAGCUGACUGUUCAGCUACUGUAGGUAUUUCUCCAUAUGGCUGAGUUGACUGUUCAGAUACUGUAGGUUAUUCUCCAUAUGGCUGAGUUGACUGUUCAACUACUGUAGGUUAUUCUCCAUAUGGCUGGGUUGACUGUUCAGCUACUGUAGGUUAUUCUCCAUAUGGCUGAGUUGACUGUUCAGCUACAUGCUACUGUAGGUUAUACUCCAUAUGGCUGAGUUGACUGUUCAGCUACAUGCUACUGUAGGUUAUUCUCCAUAUGGCUGAGUUGACUGUUCGGCUACAUGCUACUGUAGGUUACUCUCCCAUACGGCUGAGUUGACUGUUCAGCUACUGUAGGUUAUUCUCCAUAUGGCUGAGUUGACUGUAUAGCCACUGUAGGUUAUUCUCCAUACGGCUGAGUUGACUGUUCAGCUUCUGUAGGUUAUUCUCCCAUAUGGCUGAGUUGACUGUUCAGCUACAUGCUACUGUAGGUUAUUGUCACAUAUGGCUGAGUUGACUGUUCAGCUACAUGCUACUGUAGGUUAUUCUCCAUAUGGCUGAGUUGACUGUUCAACUACUGUAGGUUAUUCUCCAUACGGCUGGGUUGACUGUUCAGCUACUGUAGGUUAUUCUCCAUAUGGCUGAGUUGACUGUUCGGCUACUGUAGAUUAUUCUCCAUAUGGCUGUGUUGACUGUUCAGCUACAUGCUACUGUAGGUUAUUCUCCAAAACGGCUGAGUUGACUGUUCAGCUACUGUAGGUUAUUCUCCAUAUGGUUGAGUUGACUGUUCAGCCACUGUAGGUUAUUCUCCAUAUGGCUGAGUUGACUGUUCAGCUACUGUAGGUUAUUCUCCCAUAUGGCUGAGUUGACUGUUCAGCUACAUCCUACUGUAGGUUAUUCUCCAUAUGGCUGAGUUGACUGUUCAAGUACUGUAGGUUAUUCUCCAUAUGGCUGAGUUGACUGUUCGGCUACUGUAGGUUAUUCUCCAUAUGGCUGAGUUGACUGUUCAGGUACAUGCUACUGUAGG